UUCGGGGUACUCGAGUGGCGAACGGGUGAGUAACACGUGGGUGAUCUGCCCUGCACUUUGGGAUAAGCCUGGGAAACUGGGUCUAAUACUCGAAUAGGACCACGCGCUUCAUGGUGUGUGGUGGAAAGCUUUUGCGGUGUGGGAUGGGCCCGCGGCCUAUCAGCUUGUUGGUGGGGUAAUGGCCUACCAAGGCGACGACGGGUAGCCGGCCUGAGAGGGUGACCGGCCACACUGGGACUGAGAUACGGCCCAGACUCCUACGGGAGGCAGCAGUGGGGAAUAUUGCACAAUGGGCGCAAGCCUGAUGCAGCGACGCCGCGUGAGGGAUGACGGCCUUUCGGGUUGUAAACCUCUUUCAAUAGGGACGAAGCGCAAGUGACGGUACCUAUAGAAGAAGCACCGGCCAACUACGUGCCAGCAGCCGCGGUAAUACGUAGGGUGCGAGCGUUGUCCGGAAUUACUGGGCGUAAAGAGCUCGUAGGUGGUUUGUCGCGUUGUUCGUGAAAACUCACAGCUUAACUGUGGGCGUGCGGGCGAUACGGGCAGACUAGAGUACUGCAGGGGAGACUGGAAUUCCUGGUGUAGCGGUGGAAUGCGCAGAUAUCAGGAGGAACACCGGUGGCGAAGGCGGGUCUCUGGGCAGUAACUGACGCUGAGGAGCGAAAGCGUGGGGAGCGAACAGGAUUAGAUACCCUGGUAGUCCACGCCGUAAACGGUGGGUACUAGGUGUGGGUUCCUUCCUUGGGAUCCGUGCCGUAGCUAACGCAUUAAGUACCCCGCCUGGGGAGUACGGCCGCAAGGCUAAAACUCAAAGGAAUUGACGGGGGCCCGCACAAGCGGCGGAGCAUGUGGAUUAAUUCGAUGCAACGCGAAGAACCUUACCUGGGUUUGACAUGCACAGGACGCCGGCAGAGAUGUCGGUUCCCUUGUGGCCUGUGUGCAGGUGGUGCAUGGCUGUCGUCAGCUCGUGUCGUGAGAUGUUGGGUUAAGUCCCGCAACGAGCGCAACCCUUGUCCUAUGUUGCCAGCGGGUUAUGCCGGGGACUCGUAGGAGACUGCCGGGGUCAACUCGGAGGAAGGUGGGGAUGACGUCAAGUCAUCAUGCCCCUUAUGUCCAGGGCUUCACACAUGCUACAAUGGCCGGUACAAAGGGCUGCGAUGCCGUGAGGUGGAGCGAAUCCUUUCAAAGCCGGUCUCAGUUCGGAUCGGGGUCUGCAACUCGACCCCGUGAAGUCGGAGUCGCUAGUAAUCGCAGAUCAGCAACGCUGCGGUGAAUACGUUCCCGGGCCUUGUACACACCGCCCGUCACGUCAUGAAAGUCGGUAACACCCGAAGCCGG
rnacentral:rRNA from 1 species